UUUGCGGGCGCGGCGCCGGUCUAAGUUCCUUGGAACGGGGCGUCAUAGAGGGUGAGAAUCCCGUAUGUGACCGGCGACCAAGCCCAUGUGAAACUCCUUCGACGAGUCGAGUUGUUUGGGAAUGCAGCUCAAAAUGGGUGGUAAAUUUCAUCUAAAGCUAAAUACCGGCCAGAGACCGAUAGCGCACAAGUAGAGUGAUCGAAAGAUGAAAAGCACUUUGGAAAGAGAGUCAAAAAGUACGUGAAAUUGUUGAAAGGGAAGCGCUUGCAACCAGACCUGUCCGCGGGCGAUCAGCCGUCCUUCUGGGCGGUGCACGCGCCCGUGAUCAGGCCAGCAUCGGUUCGGGCGGUCGGAUAAAGGCCCUGGGAACGUAGCUCCUCUCGAGGAGUGUUAUAGCCCAGGGUGUAAUGCGGCCAGCCGGGACCGAGGACCGCGCUUCGGCUAGGAUGCUGGCGUAAUGGUUGUAAGCGGCCCGUCUUGAAACACGGACCAAGGAGUCUAACAUCUAUGCGAGUGUUUGGGUGUUAA
rnacentral:rRNA from 1 species